rnacentral:misc_RNA from 1 species
AACCUAGCACACCUGCGGUGUGUACCUGCGGAGGGAUCAUUACUGGAAAUGUAUUCGAGGUUUUGAAGCUGGCUCUUUCGGGAGUAUUGUGCUCGCCUUGAUUCCAAUCCAUUUCACACCUGUGCACAUAUUGUAGUUUUGGGAUCGGGUUAAAAACUUGUCCUGACUCUACGUAUUUUUUUUAUACAUAUACUCUAUAUGUCUAGAAUGUUAUUAUUUGCAAUAAAAACGCAUUUAAAA